GAUCCUGGCUCAGAGCGAACGCUGGCGGCAGGCCUAACACAUGCAAGUCGAACGAACCUUUCGGGGUUAGUGGCGGACGGGUGAGUAACACGUGGGAACGUGCCUUUAGGUUCGGAAUAACUCAGGGAAACUUGUGCUAAUACCGAAUGUGCCCUUCGGGGAAAGGAUUUAUCGCCUUUAGAGCGGCCCGCGUCUGAUUAGCUAGUUGGUUGAGGUAAUGGCUCACCAAGGCGACGAUCAGUAGCUGGUCUGAGAGGA
rnacentral:rRNA from 1 species